rnacentral:rRNA from 1 species
AAUAAUAAGUAAAAUCUGCUCAAUGAAACUUUUUAAAUAGCUGCAAUUAUAUUGUACUAAGGUAGCAUAAUCACUUGUUUUUUAAUUAAAAACUAGAAUGAAAGAUUUAACAUUUUAAUCUUUUUAUUAAAACUAUACUAUUAAAAUUUUUCUAAAUGUUAAAAACCAUUUAUUAAUAAAAGAGACGACAAGACCCUACUGAACUUAACUUUUGUUUAACUGGGGUAGUUAAAUAAAUAUAAUUUUAUUAAAUGUUAUCUUUAUAAAUAAGAUCCAAUUUCAUUGAUUAAUUGAACAAGUUACCAUAGGGAUAACAGCGCUAUAUUUUUUAAAAGCUCUUAUUUAAAAAAAUCUUUACGACCUCGAUGUUGAAUUAAUUUCCUUUUAAGCGCAAUAACUUAAUAAGGAGGUCUGUUCGACCUUUAAACUAUUACA